GCUCUGUGGUGAAGUUCAUGUUGAGUUGCAAGCUCAUCGAUGCGCAUGAGAGUGCUCCCGGAGCC
rnacentral:tRNA from 1 species